rnacentral:rRNA from 1 species
AGCUAUACAUGCAAGUCGAGCGAAUGGAUUAAGAGCUUGCUCUUAUGAAGUUAGCGGCGGACGGGUGAGUAACACGUGGGUAACCUGCCCAUAAGACUGGGAUAACUCCGGGAAACCGGGGCUAAUACCGGAUAACAUUUUGAACUGCAUGGUUCGAAAUUGAAAGGCGGCUUCGGCUGUCACUUAUGGAUGGACCCGCGUCGCAUUAGCUAGUUGGUGAGGUAACGGCUCACCAAGGCAACGAUGCGUAGCCGACCUGAGAGGGUGAUCGGCCACACUGGGACUGAGACACGGCCCAGACUCCUACGGGAGGCAGCAGUAGGGAAUCUUCCGCAAUGGACGAAAGUCUGACGGAGCAACGCCGCGUGAGUGAUGAAGGCUUUCGGGUCGUAAAACUCUGUUGUUAGGGAAGAACAAGUGCUAGUUGAAUAAGCUGGCACCUUGACGGUACCUAACCAGAAAGCCACGGCUAACUACGUGCCAGCAGCCGCGGUAAUACGUAGGUGGCAAGCGUUAUCCGGAAUUAUUGGGCGUAAAGCGCGCGCAGGUGGUUUCUUAAGUCUGAUGUGAAAGCCCACGGCUCAACCGUGGAGGGUCAUUGGAAACUGGGAGACUUGAGUGCAGAAGAGGAAAGUGGAAUUCCAUGUGUAGCGGUGAAAUGCGUAGAGAUAUGG